UGUAUAAUUGUCUUUGAAAUCACAAGCUGAAGAAUCUGUAAUCUUUUUCCUUUACAGAUCUCCUCCGGGAGUGGUGGGCAGCUACUGUGAAAGGCCUGGUUCAAAAACCUCACAGCGGUUGUUUUCAGAGUUGUCCCUCCUGUGUACUCUCAAAGCCCCAGAAUGAAGCAAAGCAUCCUCCCUUUUCAAACUGGCACUCUUCCCCAACCUUGAGGACCACUAGGCACUUUGUUUUUAAAGCCACAGUUACUUUUAUGGAGAAGUAUUGUUAUGAAAAAAGGGAGGCAUCUGAGGAGUGGAAACAGAGAAAUGAGUGACUGAGAUCAGUGUCUUAUUUUGACCAUCUUUUCCAAGUGCUGCAUCCUCCCAAACACAACAUGAACUCAACACUUAAUAAAGCUGCAGUCCUACGUG